UUCAAUUCUUUCACGUUAAACUUCCAGCGGUUACGUCCACUCAUUGUCUCCACGGUUACGAAACUGAUUUAUCAUUCAGCAACCACUUCCAAUCUUCUUCUUCUACAUCGGUUUCACAAAACCGUUUCUCUUUCAAAUGCUAUUCUCUCCCUUUUCCCAUUAUCAAUCGCAUCGCUUCAUAAUCAUACCUUCUUAAUCAAAUUUGUUUUCUGAAUUCUUCAAUAUUCAUGAAAUUACCUGCACAAUUUCAUUUUCCUAAUCGAUCGACGAUUUUUCGUUGUUUAUUCGUGUUUUCAUUUUCAUUCUACGCCAUUCCGAGUUCGUCUUCCUCUGCACGCAAAUCUGCUACUCUCGGUGAUAGAAUCGGUUUGUGCUAUGUCGUCAAGAAUCGUUUAACUUCUUCUGAUGAGUUGAUGAUCGCUUACUGUCUCGUGGAAAUUUUCAACCUGUGCGAUUUUCACCAUGCUGUUAACAACUUGCCAUCAGAUGCCUUUCUGUUUGAUAUGGAUGCACGCUCUCUCUCUCUUCCAGUUGAGAAUAAGGCAUUUUCCUGUUCAGAAGAAGGCAUUGACAAUUCUUAGAUGAUUGAUUUGCAGAUGCAACAAUUUCAGAUGUUUUGAGUGAACGAGUAUUGUAUUCUUGGCAAGGUAAAUAUAUUGAGAACACGGAGGGAUCUACAAUCGCUAAACAUUGGAAUUUCAUUAUUGUGGGAUAAACAUGUUGUAACAUCAUCUACCGGUGGAGUGGUAAUAUCUAUAUUACAUCCCAAAUACCAAUAUAUUUUCAUUCAUUCUAAUCUGCAUCCUGCGUUCCUCCCGUUGUUUAUUUCAAGGUAAACAAAACACUGGGGCCAUUUUCCACGGGUUUCCCAAUAUUGAUCAUACUUAAGCCUUUGCGAGAAAGGAUAUCAUAUGAUGGCUUCAGUUUCUACGCCAUAAAGUAGGCUUUCAGGAUUUUCAUUUUGAUUUUGCAAAAGGCUAUUCACCAAAAUAUGUGAAAGAAUUAUCAACUACCAGGCUGAGUUAGUUCAUAUACCAGCCUCAUUGGAUCCUCAGAUACCGCUACCGUCUAAAGACUGUCCAAUUUGUGAUGCAACGAAGACUGUCCAAUUUGUGAUGCAACGGUUGGAGUUGUUAGGCACCACUAACAGUUUGAUGCCAGGCAGGAGUUGUUACAACAUCCUUAACUGGUGUUGUUGUUGUACUACAUAUGGUGCAUUGCUAUACUACAUAUGCCUAUGGAUCAACCAAAAAAGCUGCACUUCAGAUGUUGGUAAGCUGGAUAGAAGGGAACCUGAAUGAGACAAGCUCUUAACUUCUAUGUAAAUUGAUACAAACAUGUCAAGAUUAAAAUAAAAAACAUCCUUAGUGAUCCCAACUUUUUUGUGUACGACUUUAUGUAUUAAAAUCAACAACCGUCGUUGCCUCUGUUUUUGUUUAACUAUACUGAUAGGAUGUUUUUGGGUUCGUAGCAUCAAGAAGCAUAUGUCAAACGAAGAGGUAUGUUUCUGUCUGCAUUCACAUGUCAAACUGAAAAGUCUUACUAAAUAUAUGAUGGAGUUUAUUAUGGAUUUACAUGCUUAACGUGAAGUGAAUUAUGUGAAGUGAAUCUAUAUUCCAAACUCAUAUGAACAAGUUUGAUAGAGCGAAAGCUAACCCUUCCUAUUAGUUUUGAUGUGAUCCUGUUGCUUUGGACAAUAAGUCAUAUAUUUCUUCUGAUCCAUUGGCUGUAGAAAGAAAUAUUGUUGUCCAUGGACAGAUAAUUCUGCAACUGUUAGCAGACUCUUUGCAACACUCUAUUACCUUCAAUAAACGACAACGACUUUGUUGAUGAAUCUGUCAAAGAAUUCUAUUGCACUUCAGCUUUAAUGGCUGGCACAC